rnacentral:lncRNA from 1 species
GGCAACAUCUCUGGCGAAAUCCCGCCUGCAGUUGGAGACCUUCCAUAUCUCCAGAACUUAAUGUUUCAUAAACUUACAAAUCUCACAGGCCAAAUCCCAUCAGCCGUUACCAAGCUUGUUCACCUCAGAGAGCUGACAAUUAGCUGGACUAAUCUGUCGGGACCGGUGCCUUCAUUCCUUAGCCAGCUCAAGAACCUCACCUCCUUGGACUUGUCAUUCAAUGACCUCACUGGUUCCAUCCCUCCUUCGCUUUCUGAGCUCCCUAACCUCCUAGACCUCCACCUGGAUCGCAACAAACUCACCGGAAGUAUCCCAGAUUCCUUUGGAAGGUUCGCUGGAAAUAGUCCUGAUCUGUUUCUGUCUCAC